rnacentral:rRNA from 1 species
UGCAGCAGGCGCGAAAACUUUACACUGCACGACAGUGCGAUAAGGGAACUCCGAGUGCGAGGGCAUAUCGUCCUCGCUUUUCUGUACCGUAGGGAGGUACAAGAAUAAGGGCUGGGCAAGACCGGUGCCAGCCGCCGCGGUAACACCGGCAGCCCAAGUGAUGGCCGAUAUUAUUGGGCCUAAAGCGUCCGUAGCCAGCUGAACAGGUCCGUCGGGAAAUCUGCUCGCUCAACGAGCAGGCGUCCGGCGGAAACCAGUCAGCUUGGGACCAGAAGACCCGAGGGGUACGUCCGGGGUAGGAGUGAAAUCCCGUAAUCCUGGACGGACCACCGGUGGCGAAAGCGCCUCGGGAAGAUGGAUCCGACGGUGAGGGACGAAAGGCAGGGUCUCC